GUGGGGAAUAUUGGACAAUGGGCGCAAGCCUGAUCCAGCCAUGCCGCGUGAGUGAUGAAGGCCCUAGGGUUGUAAAGCUCUUUCAGUGGGGACGAUAAUGACGGUACCCACAGAAGAAGCCCCGGCUAACUUCGUGCCAGCAGCCGCGGUAAUACGAAGGGGGCUAGCGUUGUUCGGAUUUACUGGGCGUAAAGCGCACGUAGGCGGAUCGUUAAGUCGAGGGUGAAAUCCUGGAGCUCAACUCCAGAACUGCCUUCGAUACUGGCGAUCUUGAGUCCGGAAGAGGUGAGUGGAACUCCUAGUGUAGAGGUGGAAUUCGUAGAUAUUAGGAAGAACACCGGUGGCGAGGGCGGCUCACUGAUCCGGUGCUGACGCUGAGGUGCGAAAGCGUGGGGAGCAAACAGGAUUAGAAACCCGGGUAGUCC
rnacentral:rRNA from 1 species